rnacentral:rRNA from 2 species
ACGGGGUGCAGCAGGCGCGAAAACUUUGCAAUGUGCGAAAGCACGACAAAGUUAAUCCGAGUGGUUUCUGCUAAAGAAACCUUUUGUCAGUCCUAGAAACACUGAUGAAUAAGGGGUGGGCAAGUUCUGGUGUCAGCCGCCGCGGUAAAACCAGCACCUCAAGUGGUCAGGAUGAUUAUUGGGCCUAAAGCAUCCGUAGCUCGUUUUGUAAGUUUUCGGUUAAAUCCAUGCGCUUAACGUAUGGGCUGCCGGGAAUACUGCAUAACUAGGAAGUGGGAGAGGUAGACGGUACUCGGUAGGAAGGGGUAAAAUCCUUUGAUCUAUUGAUGACCACCUGUGGCGAAGGCGGUCUACCAGAACACGUUCGACGGUGAGGGAUGAAAGCUGGGGGAGCAAACCGGAUUAGAUACCCGGGUAGUCCCAGCUGUAAACUAUGCAAACUCAGUGAUGCAUUGGCUUGUGGCCGAUGCAGUGCUGCAGGGAAGCCGUUAAGUUUGCCGCCUGGGAAGUACGUAUGCAAGUAUGGAACUUAAAGGAAUUGGCGGGGGAGCAC